CAAAAGCUUAGCCCCUACGACUACCGACGUCAUUAUCGUAUAAAGAUUGGAAGUCACAUAUCAUCAUCACCCCCUUGCGGGAGCUUAAGUUGUAAUUAAAUUUAAUUUUUUAGUUUGAGAUUAGAGCUUAAUAGUUUAAGUUUUAAUUUACAGAGUUUAUUUUUUUAACAAUAUCCUAAGUGUGUCACUGCGUUAUAAAACGCGGCAUAAACCAUUUCCAUUCGGUGAAGCGGUGGGGAAUCAGCUGUGACCAAUCGCGUGCGACUAGAGAGAGAUAGCAUGUAGUCCGAUAUGUCUGUCUCUCUCUCUACAACCUCGUCUACACUUUCGGCCUACGGAAAGCUGCCUCCAGUAGUAUAUGCUCUAAGGAUACGGCUAUCACGUACUCCUUUUCUCCAACGAGUAUACGAUGCGUUGCUGUUAGGGACUUUUUACACUCAAGAUAUUAACGACUGUGAUGUGAUUGUGUGCCCAUUACCGAUCGUGAAUGAAUCAAAACUUAAUUUAAAAAAUUCUCCGAACAAACUCCGAUUUUAUUUGCCUUAAAACUUGAAUAAUGAAGUAUAGAUGAGUGACGAACUAUGUUUACGUUCCGGACAUCUGUCAUACGUAUAAACGCUACAUUCACACGGAACAAUCUCAUCACAGUUGAAACUGACCUUUAGUGUCAAUAAUUUUUACUGAGUUGCAAUGUUCGAUGCCAAUGAUACAAGUGCCGUCAAAAAAAAAAAAAAAACGCGAGCAAGUGUCGAAGGUUAGGCGUUUUGCAAUUUGCAAAUUCUUCGUUACUUUCGGUGGCUGGACCUGAAGGCGGAACAACCGGAACAACUCGUUGCUUAACUCUGAAUCAUCCACGCAGGUCAAUGAGAGCAAGCUUCAGGGCAAGAAAAUUAAACGCGAAUCGGUGGGUUCGACGAACGUGCGUUUUCAAAAAGAAAAAUCAAUGUUCAACGUUCAUUUGCUCCCUUGCUCCUAACAUAAGAGUUAUAUAAUAGAUAUAAAUUAUUUCAGCUGCGCGACAAAAAUAUACUUGUUUGUAAAGCGUAUAAUAUUUCAUAUUUUAAGAUAUGUGUACGAAAUAUUGUAUGAUGUUCCCAUAUUUUAUCAUAUGAAAAAUAAUGUAAUCAUUUGAGUACCUUCUUUUGCAGACAAAAAAGCUUCUACUCUUUUCGCUUCAAUGUUCCACGUCGUUCAAUUUGUGGAGUGCUCCGCAACUGUCAUCGUCCCAGGAAAUUGGCUGAGUUGUGACGGAAAAAAUUGCGUUUGGCCUCAGGAAAGUUCUGAAUAUUCUAAACAGCAUCAUAUAUUGGCCAGGAGUACGCCUUCAGAAAACUGGAUGACGCGAGAAGUAGCGUAAUUGCGUCUGUGGAAUCUUACGACGAAGCUGUUUCGAAGCAGGUGGAAGAAACAAAAUCUAAUAAACGCACAGCUUCUGCUGCAAAUCUUGAUGUUGAUAAUAGGACAAAAAUUAUAAAAAAUUCUACACCGAAAAUCCUAUCUACAAAAAAUGUACACUUCGAUUUAAAAUUAUUAAAUAACAAACCGUUUUUAAAUAAAAACGAAGGGAAAACACCGAUAGUAGGAAUCGAAAAUCCUGAAGGAAAAGAAAAACCUGCUGGUCCGAGCAAGCGAUCGAAAAAAUCUGUAGGAACAAGUGAUAAUCUUCAGAUGAAUUCGUUAAGUUCCAAGAAUCUUAUAGCACAAAAACAAUUGUCACUGCAAGAAAUAAAAAAUUUAGAUGCAGAUGAUGAUGCAAGUUGUUUAUGUUGCUUGUACUUAACAUCUAUUUGUAUACACGAAGGAAAGUAAUUACAAAUAUCGAUAUAAUCAACAUUCUUAUUUACUUGUACGCAUUUCAGCAAUAUUGCACGAAGUCUUGCGGAAUCAAGCAGAAGAAAAGCUGCAAAAUGAAAGUCGAUAUUUGUCUGCAACGAGUACUGGUACUCGUAGAUAUUGCAAUGACAAUUCUGCAGUUGCCGCUCGCUUUCCAAUUAAUUCGCUCAGACUUCGUAAAAUUGAACGAUGAUCUUCGAGAUGCCAAUUAUGCCAAUCAAGUCGAGGCAGGAAAAUCACCAAGCAUGAGACAACUAGAGAAAUCUUGGGAAAAAUACUCACAGAUAAAGUUGCCAUUAAAUAUAAUUUUUGUGGAACGAUGCGCAAAAACAGAAAGUACCCUUUCAAAAUCUUGCACAUAUGGGACUUGAUAUUUAAUGAAGUUGUGGACGUUUCCUACAAAUCUAAUGAAGCCGAUGACACCUGCAAAAUAUGGUUGAAACAAGAAAAAAAAGAAUGGAUUCAGCUGCAUCUCGUGCAAAGAAAAUGGAAAAUAUUGCUCAUUCACACGAUAAUUCUCAAGAUACGGAAGAAGAAGAUGAAAAUGACGCUAAUGCUGACAACCAGGAAAUAAACAACAAGGAAAAUGAAAGUCAAGAAAGCGACAAGGAAAGUGAUGGCGAAUAAGAUUUUUAUUAUUUUAUGUAUUUAGACUAGCUUUUAAAUUUGAAACUCAGAUUCUACUUACUUUCAUAAGUAGAUACAUCGCAAAAUUUGAAUUAAAGUUGUAUCAGAACCACUAUAUAUUGAACUGUAUCAUCGCAAAAUGAAUACUAAUAUGCCUAAGUAUUUUCAUGUGUACCUAUAUAUUAUCUACGUUUAUUUUUUUAAUAAAUGAAAAUUUUACUUA